CCUACGGGAGGCUGCAGUGGGGAAUAUUGGACAAUGGGCGAAAGCCUGAUCCAGCCAUGCCGCGUGUGUGAAGAAGGCCUUCGGGUUGUAAAGCACUUUCAGUGGGGAAGAAAGCCUUGGGGCUAAUACCCUCGAGGAAGGACAUCACCCACAGAAGAAGCACCGGCUAACUCCGUGCCAGCAGCCGCGGUAAUACGGAGGGUGCGAGCGUUAAUCGGAAUUACUGGGCGUAAAGCGCGCGUAGGCGGUCUGAUAAGCCGGUUGUGAAAGCCCCGGGCUCAACCUGGGAACGGCAUCCGGAACUGUCAGGCUAGAGUGCAGGAGAGGAAGGUAGAAUUCCCGGUGUAGCGGUGAAAUGCGUAGAGAUCGGGAGGAAUACCAGUGGCGAAGGCGGCCUUCUGGACUGACACUGACGCUGAGGUGCGAAAGCGUGGGUAGCAAACAGGAUAAGAUACCCGAGUAGUC
rnacentral:rRNA from 1 species